AAAAAACCCAAAUUCUUGGAGCUUCCUCUCCAACAACACUAGAAAAUGUGUGCUUGUUUCCUCCACCCCUGAAUUCUAUUAGAUUAGAAAACACAGGUAACCCAGGCAACUUGGUCUUGUGGAUUCAUUUUAUUCUUUUCUUCCCUUUCUCAAAUGCUAAACAGUAGACUGUAACGGUGUCACAACAACUGCAACUCUCUAACUUCAUUUUUCAGCUUGAACCUUGUUAGCUUUAUCAUUGUGGGCGUCAAACUCUCAGGCUGCACCAUCAAAAGAGACUACAGCUCAUCAAUCCUUCUUGAUCAGGAAAUGCCAGAGCCUAACACAUCCUGGUGCAAAAACACGUCUGAAGCCAUCAUUUUUACCAGCUUCGUCGAGCAGGGUCAAAACACUUUGAAGAAGUUAAAAAGGGUCAUGCCAGAUUCAGCAUUGAAAAAGACUCCGGGAAAUUGAAAUGUCUUGGGAAAGCUAUUGCAAUUAAACUGGGCUGGUUUCUCAUUCCUGGAAAGUGAUGGAAUCAAGCUAAUUUAUACCACUGGUGCUCUGACCUGGUAUCUGUGCUGUGACUUUUAUAUGAGAGCACUGCCACGACCAGCAAAUUCAUAGUCCUACGGAUUGCUGUUCUUCACCUCAGAUCACAGCAACAACUCCAAAAAAUGUUCAGCAUCAUUAUCCCAAUUAUUCUGAAUUUUCCUUUUCAACAUGGAUAUCAGGAUGCUAUUCACUGCAAAAGCAAAUAUUGUAAUUCAUGCUGCACAGGACCACUUUUGAAAAUCAUCUGGAAAUGCCCACUGGCAUCACUUACAGCUGUCUAUUUUUCAAGGAGAUCCUGAAGAUGAAUUGGUGACAUAGAAAUAGACUGUGAUCAAGAAGCAAAGAAGGCAGAAUGGAAAGAAGGAAGAGAAGAAGAAAGACUGUGAUGUAUUAGGUCAUCUAUAAGCAGAGCCAGAAAACUGUUUCUCCUAUCAACAUGCAAGUUAGCAAUAAAAGUACUUUGCACUUAAUACCA
rnacentral:lncRNA from 1 species